rnacentral:Y_RNA from 1 species
GGCUGGUCCGAAGGUAGUGAGUUAUCUCACUUGAUUGUUCAGUCAGUUACAGAUUGAACUCCUUGUUCUACUACUUAACCCCCCUCUUCACUACUGCACUUGACUAGUCUUAA